rnacentral:rRNA from 1 species
AUUGAACGCUGGCGGCAUGCCUUACACAUGCAAGUCGAACGGUAACGGGCCUUCGGGUGCCGACGAGUGGCGAACGGGUGAGUAAUACAUCGGAACGUGCCCGAUCGUGGGGGAUAACGAGGCGAAAGCUUUGCUAAUACCGCAUACGAUCUACGGAUGAAAGCAGGGGACCGCAAGGCCUUGCGCGGACGGAGCGGCCGAUGGCAGAUUAGGUAGUUGGUGGGAUAAAAGCUUACCAAGCCGACGAUCUGUAGCUGGUCUGAGAGGAUGAUCAGCCACACUGGGACUGAGACACGGCCCAGACUCCUGCGGGAGGCAGCAGUGGGGAAUUUUGGACAAUGGGCGCAAGCCUGAUCCAGCCAUGCCGCGUGCAGGAUGAAGGCCUUCGGGUUGUAAACUGCUUUUGUACGGAACGAAAAGCCUUCUUUUAAUACAGGAGGGUCAUGACGGUACCGUAAGAAUAAGCACCGGCUAACUACGUG